UACGUAGUGGGCAAGCGUUGUCCGGAUUUAUUGGGCGUAAAGAGCGUGUAGGCGGCCAGGUAGGUCAGCUGUGAAAACUCGAGGCUCAACCUCGAGACGUCGGUUGAAACCACCUGGCUAGAGUCCGGAAGAGGAGAGUGGAAUUCCUGGUGUAGCGGUGAAAUGCGCAGAUAUCAGGAAGAACACCCGUGGCGAAGGCGGCUCUCUGGGACGGUACUGACGCUGAGACGCGAAAGCGUGGGGAGCGAACAGG
rnacentral:rRNA from 1 species